CGGCGCACGGGGCCGUCGCCCGCCACCUCACCCGCACGCCGGCUGGAGCAACCGUUACUAACCACUGCGACUGCGCCUGCGCUGGCCCCGGCUGACGCGGGAGGAAGCCAGGCCAGAGCCUGGGAGGUGCGGAGGAUCACGUGAUCUGAAAAGGUAAAUAGAGCCACGUGGUUUUUCCUGGACUGCUGCAAACCUUGGCGCCAAGAUGUACCCUCGUUGAAGAAUUACUUAAUGAACGUGUGUGACGUGGUAAGCACUGAUGAUACUGCGGCUGCUGAGAUAUAAUCGCUACUUCAGAACGCUCCCAAUUAAGUUUGUUUAAUUAUAUAUUCAUUUAUUAUUUUUUUUUAAUUUAUUUUGAGAGAGAAAGAGCUCGCGCAGGAUUGCGGGAGAGGCAGAGAGAGAGAGAGCGAGAGCCCCAGCAGACUCUGCACUGUCAUCGAGGAGCCCGAUGUGGGGCUCCAACCCAUGAACGGGGAGAUCAUAACCUGAGCGGAAACAAAUCAAGAAUUUAACGCUUAACCACCUGGGCCACCCAGGUGCCCCUUAUGUAUUCAUUUCAGUCUCAGCAGCUGUACUAGUGUUUCCCGUAUUACAUUUCCUUUAAUGAGUACCCAUCAGAUGCUCAUGAAAAGAUGGCUAAAGGAAUUUGUUUUCUCUCUCCCUCAGCCCUUGGGGUAAUGAAAAAGAGGUAGGUUUUUACCUACGAGGAUAGAUUAUCUAUUUUGAUCUGGCAAUAAUCAGUGGCUAAUCAUUAUUCAGGUCUUAACGGUGUUCACUUCCUAGAAAUAUCCCUGUCAUUCAACAUCCAAGGCUAAAACUAAUGAUGCUUACAAAGAACUAGGAAGACACUUAGUCAUGUUGCAUAGACAGAGGAUAAAACAAUAUGCAAACGUGAGGCUUUUCAACAAAGUGCUUUAUUGGAGGACACAGGGUAAAGUGAAGGGCAUGAGGUGGGUGGAGAUGAUGCUCUCCAGAGGUGACACUCAAUUUUUACAGUACUUCUUGGUGUCCAGGUUCUUGUGCUCCUUGUUAUAUGGGGCCUUUGAAAAGCAGAUGGCAGCAUUGCGGUCGCAGUUGCAGAUGAAGGCCUCACAGGGUUUGUUUUCAUCUGGAAAAGAGCAAGAGGAGAGGACUGAGCCAAGGUAGAUCCUGCUUUGUCCAGUCUGGAGGGAAGGAAGAAUUAACUGGAAUAAAUAAUGGCCAUUACAUUCAUACAAAUUUGGGUUUGAUAGAUUAAGCAAAUAAAAAUACCAGAAUUUCAGAAAAACAAAAAAAAAAUUGCAAUGUUUGGAAUGUAGAAUAAAAAAUGUUCAUUGUC